rnacentral:rRNA from 1 species
CCUACGGGAUGCAGCAGUGGGGAAUAUUGCACAAUGGGCGCAAGCCUGAUGCGGCCAUGCCGCGCGUAUGAAGAAGGCCUUCGGGUUGUAAAGUACUUUCAGCGAGGAGGAAGGCAUUAAGGUUAAUAACCUUGGUGAUUGACGUUACUCGCAGAAGAAGCACCGGCUAACUCCGUGCCAGCAGCCGCGGUAAUACGGAGGGUGCAAGCGUUAAUCGGAAUUACUGGGCGUAAAGCGCACGCAGGUGGUCUGUCAAGUCGGAUGUGAAAUCCCCGGGCUCAACCUGGGAACUGCAUUCGAAACUGGCAGGCUAGAGUCUUGUAGAGGGGGGUAGAACUCCAGGUGUAGCGGUGAAAUGCGUAGAGAUCUGGAGGAAUACCGGUGGCGAGGGCGGCCCCCUGGACAAAGACUGACGCUCAGGUGCGAAAGCGUGGGGAGCAGACAGGAUUAGAUACCCGAGUAGUC